AGCCGUAGCAUGCAAUAAAAGCUAAGGCUAAGCAAACCGUUACUAAGUUAGACUUGGCCUCCUGCCAUAAUCUAGCUUCAAGUAACGGGAACCUGCAUUAAAACAAGUCAACAACCAAUCCCUAGUUAACCAUAUAUACGCUUGAGUUCAAUACUCAAGUAGUGUUAGACACUUAGACUAUACAAGUAUCAUGAGCCGGUCGACCAACAAUCAAACAAAAACAUGAUCGGCCAACCAAUGAUACCGCAUAGCUUUAAUAUCCACCACCCUUCACAAGCAAUCCUUCAAACACAUACAGGCCAACGUCAGGCCUACACUAACCAAAUAUACACCAAGCCUAUUCCGGUACCUAAACCAGACUUAGGUCUUAGUGUCAGAACCUGCAAGACAAACAAUCAACAACCACAACCACAACAACAAUAAGAUAGUAACUACCAAUGAUUCGAUCUAACUCGUAACACCAUAUAUCGGUGGAACAAUAACUCGAGGGUUCCAUAACCCUCUACGAC
rnacentral:lncRNA from 1 species